rnacentral:lncRNA from 1 species
AUCAGCAAAAACGCCAUAGGAGGUCUGGAAUAAGCUGGUUUUUCAUAUUUUUGAAUCAUAUCGAGAACCCGAAACAAGUCGAGGAAAAGAAAAAGUAGCCGAUUAGUCCCUGAACUUUUACAAAUUCUGCAAAUCGAUCCAGGUAAGUUCAUAUGGCUGAAAUUUAAUGAUUAAAUGUUAAUUUCAUGAAUUAUACAAUGUAUGGUGAAAUGUAUUUAUUGUUGAAAUGAGAAUAAAAUAAAAAUGUGAAAAUCGAAUAAAUGAUCAAAUUAAGUGGAACGUCGAAUUUGAGUACUUCUGAUCAAGUGACAAAGUGAUAAGUGGUAGUUUUAGCUACACUUAUCUGAUCAAGAAACAAAGUGAUAAGUGGUUACACUUAUCUGAUCAAGAAACAAAGUGAUAAGUGGCUACACUUAUCUGAUCAAGUGGUAAAGUGAUAAGUGGUAGCCUAGCUACACUUAUCUGAUCAAGGACAAGUGAUAAGAGGUCAUAUGGCAAAGUGAAAGUGAAGUACUCAAAUUUCCAUAACCGUUCCUUAAUUUUGAUCAAGAAUGGUAAGUGACAAAUGGGCCCAAAGGAAUUAUGGUAAAAGAAUAAGUAGUAGUGAGUUUAUACCAAGGAACUCACCAAAGAUUGUGGUUGACAGGUAAAUUUAGUAAUGGUGUAUAUUGUAUAAGUGUGCAAGUGUUUGGUAAGAUUUAUGUUUUAUGCCUAUGAACUUACUAAGCUUUUCUAUAAGCUUACAUGUGUGUGUUUAUUGUUUUUGUAGAUUAACGUAUUUAUACAUUCGGAGGAUCGGAUCUACAUCAAGAAUCACACUAUCCAGAUAUACUCCGGUAGUUUAUGUUAAGCAACUUUUUGGAUUUAUAUGGCAUGUAUAGGGAAUUGAAGUAAAAGUAAAUUUGAAUGUUAUGGUUGCGUUAGAUAUCGAAAUAUAUACAUGUUUUUAGUUUGAAAUGGUUGAUUGGUUGAACUUAAUUAGUAUUUAAAUGAAGUAGAUGAAAUACUGGA